rnacentral:rRNA from 1 species
CGCUGGCGGCGUGCUUAACACAUGCAAGUCGAACGGGAGUAUUGAAGAAGCUUGCUUAGAGAUACUUUAGUGGCGGACGGGUGAGUAACGCGUGAGGAGCUGUCCUAUGCAGGGGGACAACAGCUGGAAACGGCUGCUAAUACCCCAUAAGCCGAGAGGUAAAGGAUCAAUCCGGCAGAGGAGGUACUCGCGUCCUAUCAGCUAGUAGGUGAGGUAACGGCUCACCUAGGCGAAGACGGGUAGCCGGCCUGAGAGGGCGAACGGCCACACUGGAACUGAGAUACGGUCCAGACUCCUACGGGAGGCAGCAGUGGGGAAUAUUGGGCAAUGGGGGAAACCCUGAACCCCCAGCGACGCCGCGUGGGUGAAGAAAUCCUUCGGGAUGUAAAGCCCUGUUGUAUGGGAAGAGCGGAAGACGGUACCAUACGAGGAAGCCCCGGCAAACUACGUGCCAGCAGCAGC